GGCCAAAAACUAAAACCCCGAACUCGGCAAAACGACUCAACAAAAAUAGAACAAAACUCAGGACUGCUGCAACUCGGAAACACGGAACUCGAAUGCUCAAACCCAGUACAAACGAAAACAACUCAGACCCAUUUACUCGACUAAAAACGCAGCACAAGAACCCAGAAUGCAACAAUAGCAGAACACAGACUCAAAGCAAAACUCAACUUAAACUAAAACUCAGCUAUUCAACAACCGAAGACAACAAAUCAGGACUCAGACUCAAACUCACAGCAAGAACAACUCGCUGACUCAGUAGAAUUAAAACCAAAAACACAGCUCGGAACUAAUGGCGCUUAAAAGAUUUCGACUCAGCAAGACUCGAGACUAACUCGACACAAAACCAAGAUGAAAAACGCAGCAAAAACGAAAGACACAAAUCUAGUAAAAUCAAACCCAACUCGGAACUCAGUACAUGACUCGGUGACUACACAAACAGAAAAUGAAAAUCCAAAAACAAGCCCUCGUUGUGGCGACUUAGUCAAAAAAGUCUGAACAGCAAACCGGGUUGUUGAUUAAACUAAACGAAAGCAAAGGGAGGUGCUGGGUUUUAACGUUUAAAAGAAACAGGGGACUAGGUUUGUAUAUAAAACAAGCUUAAACAAAAAAAAACAGAGCAAGUCGAAUAAAACAAUUUUGGCGAAUAUAUGUAGCAUUUUAAAAUUAUUUCAUUAGAAACGGAAAAGUAA
rnacentral:lncRNA from 1 species